UUAAAUUCCACUCAUUUGCACCAUAAAUGAAAUUUUUAUGUGAGAAUGGGGAAAAAGCCUAAUUCUCAUUCCAGCGGCAAUAAUAUCUGCAAAAUCUAUAAAUUUAACACCAUGAAGUGUGCAGCUGCCUUAACAAAAGAAAUGUGUGUGUAUAUAUCAGCGUAGUUGAGAAAUAUAGAUUGAAAAGCAUCUAAAACUCUCAAUUCUCAAGUAUUUUAAUUUACACAAAUUCUGGUCAUGUAGGGACUAUUUCCAGAUCUCAUCAAAUUCUGAGAAGCCAAAAUAACUCCUGCUUUUAUCCAUGGUAAGGUAAUGUAGGUGGAACUGGUCCAUAGCCUUUGUUUUGGUUUAGAUUUUUUUUUUCCUCAGGAUAGCAAGACUUUGUACCAAUUAGCUCAUGAACCCAAACUAAAAAUGUACAUUUUUUUGUCCCUUGAAAGAUGUCAUUACAUCACUAAAUUCUCUGACAUCUCUACAUGUCUUGACAACUCUCUGAAAGAGAUCUGAAGAAUAAGACAUUCUUGAAACAUACAAAGUUUUUCUUGACAGUAUGUCAGAAUGGAAUUCAGCUUCAUUUUAAAUGAAAUUUAAGAUUAAGUAGAUUAUUUUCACCUGCUCUCAUAUAGUCUAAAAGGAGGCAUUAUCUGUGGAAGAAUUCUGUCUAUAUCCCUGAGCUUACUCAGGGUCAUAUACACGUCAGGCCAUGGGAGUUGCAUUCAGAUGCCCUGCAUUAUUUCUUCUCUAACAAUCUGAAAACAGAAGUAGUGCAAAUGACUAACAGAGCAGAGAUCUAAAUUCAGGGAAAUAAAGUUACAGGAGAUCAAUCUGACCCUCCAUAUCCAUUUUCACUCAAUAGCCAUAAGGAGCAACACUCAUAAAUUCUGCCUUACAGGAAUAUGGGCAAUUACUCUGUUUAGCAUUCCUACUGUAUCUUGUCUCAAAAUAAAAGUUAUUCUUGGUCUAUCUAAUUGAUUUAGACUCAACUCUGUAUACAAACAAAUCAUUCAUUUUUCUCAUUCGGAAUUAUAUUUAUCGUUUGUCACUGAAAGAUCUUUUCCAAUGUCCAUACUGUGAUUCCUUGUAUUCAUUACAUUUCUCUUCAGGAAAAAAACCCCAAAUAGAAUAGACUAUUUUGGUUGUAAAGGACCUAAAACAAUCAUCCAGUCCAACUGCCUGGGCACUUCAGGAAUGACCAAAAGUUAAAGUGUGUCCUUGAGGGUAUGAUCCAAAUUCCUCCUGAAUAUUGACAGGCUUGUGGCAUUGUCCACCUCUCUAGCAAGCCUUCUGGUGCCCUCUCAGUAAAGAAAAGCUGCCUAAUGUCCAGUCUAAACCUUCCCUGGUAUGGUUUACAACCAGUCCCAUAUGUCCAGUCCCUGGAUGCCAGGGAGAGGAGCUCAGCUCCUCCCUCUGCACCUGCUGUCCUCGGGAAGUUUUAGAGAGCAAUGAGAUCGUCCCUCAGCCUCCAUUUCUCCAGACUGGACAAGCCCAGAGCCCUCAGCUGCUCCUUACAUUCCUUCCACACCUUUCACGUGCUUUGUUACCCUCCUCUGGAUGCAUUCAAGGACCCUCACGUUUUUGUCCCAGCCCUACCCACGGUGCCUAAGGGGAGACUGCACCAACCCUGAAGAAGCCAAAAAUGUAUGAAUAUUGCUGUGGACAGCUUCCAUGUGAACUGGAGUUCUGUAUCCUUCCCUUGAUGGGCUGCCUAGCAGCAAAUCUGCUCACUCACAGCUGCAUUGUCAAUGCACAAGGAUGACCCAUCACAGUUCCCCUGUCCCUUUGCUGGCAUUCUCCCUUCAGGUAAGAAACAAACCAGAAGCUAUAAACUGCUUGUUAAAUUAUGAAAAAGUGUUGUUAAAUGCAUAAAAACACAUGUAAUUAAAUAAAUUAUAGCUUGUAAUCAAUCUGUCUGAGAGCAAAAUGGCAAAUCAGGGAUUGAAGAUUAUUUGGAACCACUCACAGAACAAUUACUCUGCACUAGUAGCACUGAACAAAGGAAAUUAUUGAGAUGUUUCCUGUAAGAAUUCUCAGCCACUGCAUUGCAGGAACAACUUGGAGUAUCACUAACAUAUAACAGCCUCUAAUGCUUCCCCAAAUGAAAUCUUGUAAAAGGCUACUAUCAUUAAUCAUCAGUUGUAAUGUGCUAUCAAGCAAUUUAACCUACAGAAUCAGCCCACUGUAGCAACCACAGUAUAGUUCAAUCUCUGUAACAAUGCAUAUUCAAUUAUCUAGCUCAUCUUCUUCUCUCUUCAUUGUAAUUGAUAGUCACAAACUGCUUAACUGAAGCUCUCCAUAAAAAAAAAAAAAAAAAAAAAAAAAAAAAGAAAAAAAAAAAAAAAGAAAAA